rnacentral:misc_RNA from 1 species
GUGCAAAGUCGCUGCGUUAUAUCUACUGCCGUCUUUAUUACGCUUUCAGCGCAAGAAGUUUUCUUGCGCGUUCUGUAAAACCGCUACCGAUGUGGUGCGUGAUAAAAUUACAGACGCCCUCGACGUUGUUGUUUUUUAACAUAUCCAAAAUAGUGGCAUGUCCACGGUUAGAGCUGGUGAUAUAUUCAGCGGUAAAAUCCAGUCUGUAGCGAAUUGCCAAUAAACGUGCAGAGAUCAACAGGUGUGCUUGUGAAAUGUAUUUAUUAUCGGCAUAUUUCACAAAAACAUAAUGAAAAUCAUGAUCCAGUUUGAGGUAAGCUUGCGUAUCUCGCUCUGCAUUAAUUUUUGCUGACUUCGAUAAAAUAUUGCUUAAUUCGACUAUGACAUUGUUAGCAUUUUUCUCCAUCGCUUCACGAAUUGCGCCCUGUUCAAGGAUAACCC